UUUUUAGGAGGUAUCGAAAAGAUAUGAUGUAAAAUUUUCACGAUGGUUUCAAACAUGUCACUUCGCGAUAAGACGCGAGAACUUUAAGCGCAGCCACCGAGCUCGGUCUGUAAUUUAUUUUAUUUGUCACAAGUAGGAAAAAUAACUUUGAACUGCUUUUAACAGAACAAUCGAUGAAGGUGGUGUGAACGUGCAAACGAAUAUUGUUGUUGCGACUGAAAUAGAACAUGACUGUACAGAGACUUCCGGUUCGUCUUACGACGUUCACUAAGGGUCAAGAAUCAACAUCCUCUUUACGCAAACUUGGAAUACUGGUCAGGAAACCGUUCACUCACUUCUCACCAGGAGACGUAAUCAGUAACUAGCGAGUAAAUAUCGCAAAAAACUACCCAGACGACAGAGACAACACACAAUUUCCACACGAAAAAUAUAACAUCUGACGGAGAGCCGAUACCUACUUCCAUUAAAUCAUCGAAAAAAGGUGGAAUUGAAGCUCAAAGGGAGCAACUACAAAAACAAGAACUAAAUGUGGUAGCAGUGGUAAUUCCUGUGGUAUUGGCCUUCUUCCUUGUCUGCAUGCGUUUAACUAUCGUCUUUUAUAUCACAGGGUAAGUAUUCACGAUGAGAGGCAUGUCUUGUACCACCGAAAAAUUUUAUUUUGCGUUGUCCGUGAUUUCUGUAACCAUGACGAGCUUUGCUCAAGAAAAAAAUUCUCAGCAGGCAUCGUAAACUGAUGCCGAGGUUUGGGGAAGAAGGCGUUGGGUGGAUGUCAUCACAUAAUUACACCACAAUGUAAUUAUACAGAUUAGCGCCCACGAAUCCACGAGAGAUACGCGAUUGCGUGCGAGUUAACGCGGGGUCAUCUGUUGGCGAUGAAAAUCAAAAUCAUGAAAUGAAAUGAAGUUUGUUGUGCGCGUAAUG